GCUUCUUUCCUCCCGAGUGCUUGCACUCAAUUGGAAAGAGGAGUGGCGGACGGGUGAGUAACACGUGGGUAACCUACCCAUCAGAGGGGGAUAACACUUGGAAACAGGUGCUAAUACCGCAUAACAGUUUAUGCCGCAUGGCAUAAGAGUAAAAGGCGCUUUCGGGUGUCGCUGAUGGAUGGACCCGCGGUGCAUUAGCUAGUUGGUGAGGUAACGGCUCACCAAGGCCACGAUGCAUAGCCGACCUGAGAGGGUGAUCGGCCACACUGGGACUGAGACACGGCCCAGACUCCUACGGGAGGCAGCAGUAGGGAAUCUUCGGCAAUGGACGAAAGUCUGACCGAGCAACGCCGCGUGAGUGAAGAAGGUUUUCGGAUCGUAAAACUCUGUUGUUAGAGAAGAACAAGGACGUUAGUAACUGAACGUCCCCUGACGGUAUCUAACCAGAAAGUCACGGCUAACUACGUGCCAGCAGCCGCGGUAAUACGUAGGUGGCAAGCGUUGUCCGGAUUUAUUGGGCGUAAAGCGAGCGCAGGCGGUUUCUUAAGUCUGAUGUGAAAGCCCCCGGCUCAACCGGGGAGGGUCAUUGGAAACUGGGAGACUUGAGUGCAGAAGAGGAGAGUGGAAUUCCAUGUGUAGCGGUGAAAUGCGUAGAUAUAUGGAGGAACACCAGUGGCGAAGGCGGC
rnacentral:rRNA from 1 species